rnacentral:lncRNA from 1 species
UAUGAGAGAGGGUACCCCAACUGAGAGGGUAACUUGGGAGUUGUUUAAGCAGUCCUUCAAAGCAAAGUAUGUCGGAGCUAGCUAUGUGGAUGCGCGAAGGAAGGAAUUCCUGAACCUGACCCAGGGUGGUAAGACCGUUGCUGAAUAUGAGGCAGAGUUUUUGCGAUUGAGCCAGUAUGCUAAUGGUAUUGUCUCUAUCGAAUACGAGCGUAGUGUUCGCUUUGAGGAUGGCCUCAGGGAUGAGCUAAGGGUGCUCAUAGCUCCAUAGAGAGAGCGCGAUUUUGCUACACUGGUAGAAAAGGCUAAGAUAGCCGAAGAGGUGAAACAAGCUGAACGAAAGAACCGCGAUAGGGAUCGAAAUUGGUUCAGGAGAGAUGCUGGACCAACUGGUGUUGCAAACUGAAAU